CUUUCUUUGGAGGCAGAAAUUGGGCAUAAGACAGUAUGAGGGGUGGUCUCCUCCCUUAAAGGAACUCCCCAAACCUCCAUGAUUUAGCAGGAGACAAAGAGAAGGUUCAUCUGGAUCUCGUUAUUGGGCCAUGAGAAAUAGCAGCCCGACCCUCACUCUGGUCUGGGAACAAAAUUUGGCAAGCCAGCCAGGAGAGACUGGGAUGGUGCUGUGUUCAGCGGCUAGCAGCUUGCAAUGAGACAGUCUUCAGGAGGAUCCCAGCAGCUGCUGAUGAGAUUUCCCAAGGACCCUCUUGAAGGCUGUUUCAUGCAGAAAAUUGCACAUCUCUUUCACUACUGGGGAAGAAUGGAGAUCAGGAGUGGAUGCACUCAAAGGGUCACAAUUGAAAAAACUGAUCAUUUUACCAAGGCUUUGACUGGAAUGGUGUGCUUUCCUUUAAGAAAUCAAACUUGACUUAUGGAGCCAACGGAACCCCAAGUUGUCUUGGAACCUCAAGAGGAGAGAAAUUCACCCAACACAUAGGUGCUGCCUCUAAGCCCUGAAGCAGAGAGUGCUACCAAGAACAAAUCGACCUCUUCCACUCCAGUGCUGUGUUUGGUGCCCCAUAACGACGACCCUCUCUCAGCAGGAAGUAGCCAGAAAGGUUAUGAUGUCCCAUCUCCCUACAAUCCUCGUGAUAAAUAAAUAUACAAGCAUGAUAGAUAUCAUGUGCAAAUUGACAGUGGAGAUUGUGGCAGGCGGAUCUCACUAAAGCAGGCUUCUGUAACAACUGUUUCAGUAUUGACUGAGUGGUUAAGUUAAAUAUUAAAAGCCAGUGGCCCUUAUACAAAGGCUGGGAUGGAACAAAAGCCCACCAAGAGUUUUGCGUAGGCCUUUCCUGGGCCUUAAAGCAUGACAAAAUAAUGAAGGAAUUCUUAACAGGACCCAUUUAGGAUUAAACAAGUUUUAUCAUGAGUCUGAAGAAGCUUUCCAGGCCUCCACAUACAAGUUUAUUGCAGGUCUGAAGGAACUCCCUAAACCUCCAUGAUUUAGCAGGAGACAAGAUAAGGGUAACCACCCCAGCACCUGGACCCAUUUAGAUUAAGUAAAUUUACUGAUGCUCCGGAGGAAGAUCCUCAGGACUCAGACCUUAAUUAUAGAUUAAAAGUAGUGAAUCACUUAUGUCUUUAGAUGAAUGCACACUUACACGUAGACAUAUAGCUUAAAAGGUAUAUAAGCUCUGGAAAAUGUUGUAAUUUGGAGUUGGUCUGGCAAUAACUUCCAGGCCUUCCCCCUGUAACUGGUUACAGAAAUAAAAACUCUCUCCCCAAUUCAUCUGCAUCUCAUUAUUGGGGCACAAGAAAUAGCAGCCCAACCCUCAGUUUUGUCCAGGAACACUAGAAUUACCAGCGUGAGCCACAGUAGCUUGCCUGUAAAUGCUCUUUAUCAAGUUGAGGAAGGUCCCCUCAAUUCCCAUUUUCUGAAUUUUUUAAAUAAUAAAUUUAAAAACUGUGUGUUAAACUUGUGAUGUUAAAUUUUGUCAGGUAUUUUUUCUGCACUGAUUUAUAUGAUUAUAUGAUUUUUCUUCUUUUUCCUUUUAAUGUGGUUGAUCAUUUUGAUUGUUUUUCAAAUAAUGAACCAUCUAUGUUUCCUUACAAUAAAUUCUAUUUGGUUAUGGUGAAUUAAUUCUUUUUAUGAAAUGCUGAAUUCUAUUUGCUAAUAUUUUAUUAAGAAUGUCUGCACCUACAUCAAGUAGAGUUUUAUGGAUGGAAAUUAAAAGAAAAGAAGUUUGGGGCUGAACAUGGUGGCCCCUGCUGUAACUGCCCAACGGGUUCACC
rnacentral:lncRNA from 1 species